AGAGUUUGAUCCUGGCUCAGAUUGAACGCUGGCGGCGUGCCUAACACAUGCAAGUCGAGCGGUAACAGGCGUAGCAAUACGUGCUGACGAGCGGCGAACGGGUGAGUAAUGCUUCGGAAUCUGCCCAGUAGUGGGGAACAACCAGCCGAAAGGUUGGCUAAUACCGCAUACGUCCUACGGGAGAAAGCGGGGGAUCGUAAGACCUCGCGCUAUUGGAUGAGCCGAAGCCGGAUUAGCUAGUUGGUAGGGUAACGGCCUACCAAGGCGACGAUCCGUAGCUGGUCUGAGAGGACGACCAGCCACACUGGGACUGAGACACGGCCCAGACUCCUACGGGAGGCAGCAGUGGGGAAUAUUGGACAAUGGGGGAAACCCUGAUCCAGCGACGCCGCGUGUGUGAAGAAGGCCUGCGGGUUGUAAAGCACUUUUAGUGGGGAUGAAAAGCCUAGGACUAAUACUCCUGGGUCUUGACCUAACCCACAGAAAAAGCACCGGCUAACUCUGUGCCAGCAGCCGCGGUAAU
rnacentral:rRNA from 1 species